rnacentral:rRNA from 1 species
UACGAAGGGGGCUAGCGUUGUUCGGAAUUACUGGGCGUAAAGCGCACGUAGGCGGAUCGAUCAGUCAGGGGUGAAAUCCCAGGGCUCAACCCUGGAACUGCCUUUGAUACUGUCGAUCUGGAGUAUGGAAGAGGUGAGUGGAAUUCCGAGCGUAGAGGUGAAAUUCGUAGAUAUUCGGAGGAACACCAGUGGCGAAGGCGGCUCACUGGUCCGGUUCUGACGCUGAGGCGCGAAAGCGUGGGGAGCAAACAGG